rnacentral:lncRNA from 10 species
CUCCUGGCCCAAGGCUACACUUCUCAGCCUGUCAGAAUGGCCACCCUGCAGGCUGUAACCCCUUAUGAGAAGGAAAACUCUCCUUUCCAAACGUAUGAACCUCAUCAUUCUUCAGUUGACAUGAUUGGUAAUGAGGAUGGGAUCUGCAGAGAGCACCAGUUUCUCCCAGCAUGAUUGGAAGUCAAUGCAUCAAGGUCUUCAGCUCAGCUGUCUCCCCAGCUGACCACACAGGGAGGAAGCCAGGUUUAGGAGGGGAACUUCCCAGUCCAGUCAGAUUCAGCUGGUCCAUAAGAUUUUAUGAGGACUCUCACACUAAGGACACUCUAAGGAACCCUUCCUAAGGCUCUCUCUCUCUUUGCCUGCCGCCAUUCACGGAAGAUGUGACUUGCUCCUCCUUGCCUUCCGCCAUGAUUGUGAGGCCUCCCCAGCCACGUGGAACUGUGAGUCCAAUUAAACCUCUUUGUUUUGUAAAUUACCCAGUCUCAGUCUCAGGUAUGUCUUUAUCAGCAGCAUGAAAACAGACUACAAUACAAGCUGUCAUUGAGGUGAUUCUGGAUCUUGUGACGACUACCUUGCACCUGUUUGGAGAUGUCUCAUGCAUCCUUGGUUAAGUCAUAACCUUGGUUAAGGUUUGUUGGUUUCACUUGGAAAGUUAUCUUUGGUAAAGAAGUUCAAAAGCCAGAAAUAUAAGCUGUUUGUCCUGGCUAAAAUCUGUUAAUAAGAUAUUUAAAUGGAUUUUUUUUUCUUUUAAAGAGCUCCAAGGUUAGAAGUCAGAUUAAUUAAAAGCUGAUUGCAAGCUAUAAUUAUAUUUUUUAAAAAGUCUUUAUGCUGGCCAGGUGUGGUGGCUCACACCUGUAAUCCCAGCACUUUGGGAGGCCAAAGCGGGUGGAUCACGAGGUCAGGAGAUCGAGACCAUCCUGGCCAACAUGGUGAAAUCCCAUCUCUACUAAAAUACAAAAAAUUAGCUGGGUGUGGUGGUGCACAUCUGUAGUCCCAGCUACUCGGGAGGCUGAGGCAGGGGAAUUACUUGAACCCAGGAGGCAGAGAUUGCAGUGAGCCGAGAUCAUGCCUUUGCACUCCAGCCUGGUGACAGAGCCAGACUCUGUCUUUAAGAAAAAAAAAAAAAAAAAAAGCUUUUAGGCCUUUUUCCUUUUCAGAUCCUGUUUUUGAAAAAUAUUCUUCUCAAUCAACUGAUUUUUGUCUGUUUCUCCACUUAUUUGUGUCUGUCCUUCCUUCCUCUUGCCACCCCUAAUGCUUACUUGAGAGGACCUGAAAUAGUUUCUAACAGCCUACAGAGCUGAAAGGAUAAAAUAGAAUGAUGUGUAUUUGCAGAUGACAUGACUGUUCACAUAGAAAAUCUCAAGGAAUCUACAAAAAACAAACAAACAAAAAAAUUCC